rnacentral:sRNA from 10 species
AAGAUGCCAGGGUCAAAAGCCUGAAACCACGAUGUGCUUGCACAGGAGUGGUUUUAUGGCUUAAUGACCCGCCCCGAUAUGAGCAUAAAAGUGGAGCGUAAGCUUCACGAUAUGCGAAUAUUGGAUAGAAUUGUGGGAGUACGAAGUACGGAACAAUUCGUAUGGCAUCUU